CUGACUUAUAAGUUGUUCCAAGUAAAAUUGCGAUCUUUUUGAAUAAUUGAAGCUGUUUUAAGGUUCAUCCACGUAUUAAAUUACUGUUCAUCGAUUUCUACAGUGCCAGCUGUAUUGAAACGAAAAAAUGGAAGCCCAACCGAAUAUUGUCCACCACGAGCACACUAUAUCGACGCAACGUAUUCGUCAGACGUGUCGUAUUAGAAAAAUCAACGGCGAAAUCUUCAGAAAAUGUUACGUUAGAAAUAACAACGGUAAUGAAACGCCGAAAUGGAUUCAGUUGUCCUACCUGGAGUGGUGGGAUAAUCUCACGGAAAAUACCAACCACUAUCAGGAGUAAUUAAUUAAUACGAUAACGACGGCGCAGAAAUUCCAGCGAAUCGACGUAUUUGCGGGUGAAUCAGCGCACCAGAUUGCGACAA